rnacentral:rRNA from 1 species
UACGAAGGGGGCAAGCGUUGUCCGGAAUCAUUGGGCGUAAAGCGCGUGUAGGCGGCCAGAAAAGUCCGCUGUGAAAACUCGAGGCUCAACUUCGAGCUGUCGGUGGAAACUUUCUGGCUAGAGUCCGGAAGAGGAGAAUGGAAUUCCUGGUGUAGCGGUGAAAUGCGCAGAGUAUCAGGAAGAACACCCGGUGGCGAAGGCGGGUCUCUGGGCCGACUGACUGCGUGGAGGAGCGAAAGCGUGGGGAGCGAACAGG